UACGGGGGGAGCAAGCGUUGUUCGGAUUUACUGGGCGUAAAGGGCGCGUAGGCGGCCAGUGCAAGUCAGUUGUGAAAUCUCCGAGCUUAACUCGGAAAGGUCAACUGAUACUGCUCGGCUAGAGUGCGGAAGGGGCAACUGGAAUUCUUGGUGUAGCGGUGAAAUGCGUAGAUAUCAAGAGGAACACCUGCGGCGAAGGCGGGUUGCUGGGCCGACACUGACGCUGAGGCGCGAAAGCGUGGGGAGCGAACAGG
rnacentral:rRNA from 1 species